rnacentral:rRNA from 1 species
CCUACGAGUGGCUGCAGUGGGGAAUAUUGGACAAUGGGGGGAACCCUGAUCCAGCCAUGCCGCGUGUGUGAAGAAGGCCCUCGGGUUGUAAAGCACUUUCAGUGAGGAAGAACGCCUGGUGGUUAAUACCCAUCAGGAAAGACAUCACUCACAGAAGAAGCACCGGCUAACUCCGUGCCAGCAGCCGCGGUAAUACGGAGGGUGCGAGCGUUAAUCGGAAUUACUGGGCGUAAAGCGCGCGUAGGUGGCUUGAUAAGCCGGUUGUGAAAGCCCCGGGCUCAACCUGGGAACGGCAUCCGGAACUGUCAAGCUAGAGUGCAGGAGAGGAAGGUAGAAUUCCCGGUGUAGCGGUGAAAUGCGUAGAGAUCGGGAGGAAUACCAGUGGCGAAGGCGGCCUUCUGGACUGACACUGACACUGAGGUGCGAAAGCGUGGGUAGCAAACAGGAUUAGAUACCCGAGUAGUC